UCGGUUUGGAACACAGACCUUAUGAAAGCAGUUUUAGUAAAGCAGUUCACCAUAGAUACCCUUCUUCGUGAGUCUCCUCCUAAGUGCCUGAGUAAGAAACGCUCUGAAAUACAGACCACGUUCGCCACAGUAGGUGGCUAAAUAUAUUGAGGAAGUAUCUAUGUCUAAUAAAAUGACUGGUUUAGUAAAAUGGUUCAAUCCUGAGAAAGGUUUUGGUUUUAUCACCCCUGACAAUGGUAGCAAAGAUGUGUUCGUUCACUUCUCUGCUAUCCAGAGCAACGAUUUCAAAACGCUGGACGAAGGUCAGAAAGUGGAGUUCUCUAUCGAGAACGGCGCUAAAGGCCCGGCAGCUGCGAACGUUGUUGCGCAGUAAGUUUUAAGACGCCGGGUUACCCCGGUGUACUAAAAAACCCGCUUAUGGCGGGUUUU
rnacentral:sRNA from 1 species